rnacentral:rRNA from 1 species
GAUGAACGCUGGCGGCGUGCCUAAUACAUGCAAGUCGAGCGAACAGAUGAGGAGCUUGCUCCUCUGACGUUAGCGGCGGACGGGUGAGUAACACGUGGAUAACCUACCUAUAAGACUGGGAUAACUUCGGGAAACCGGAGCUAAUACCGGAUAAUAUAUUGAACCGCAUGGUUCAAUAGUGAAAGACGGUUUUGCUGUCACUUAUAGAUGGAUCCGCGCCGCAUUAGCUAGUUGGUAAGGUAACGGCUUACCAAGGCAACGAUGCGUAGCCGACCUGAGAGGGUGAUCGGCCCCACUGGAACUGAGACACGGUCCAGACUCCUACGGGAGGCAGCAGUAGGGAAUCUUCCGCAAAGGGCGAAAGCUUGACGGAGCAACGCCGCGUGAGUGAUGAAGGUCUUCGGAUCGUAAAACUCUGUUAUUAGGGAAGAACAAAUGUGUAAGUAACUAUGCACGUCUUGACGGUACCUAAUCAGAAAGCCACGGCUAACUACGUG